UCUAAUGGGGUAGUGAUAUUUCACCUUGGAUAUAUUUACAGUAUAUUGGGUGAAAUGUUCCAAGUUAGAUCUCCAGCUGUGUUAAAAAAAUAGUUCACAAAAUAAAAAUGUGGAAUUCUUUACACACACAGAAACAAUAUUCUUUACUUUCGAGACCAUGCAGUAAACUAAAUAUGAUUAAUUCAUCCAUCCACAAAUGUAAAUAGAAUUAAUUAAUGUCACUCUCCAUUUCAGAGGAUAAUAAUUGUUUUGCAGUUUGACCAGUUGGGGCAAUUAGUCCACUUUAUGCAUGGUUCAAUCCUUCCAGUUUCCGUAGGGAAGGCAAAUAUAAAUGUUCACAUGCGAGGGGCUUUGGGCCUAGCCCACGAACCCACCACAAGAUGUUUCCCACCACCACCAAACCCACAAUGGCGUUGGAAUUCUUUGAGAAAUAUAAUUUUCUUUCUUACGUAUUUCAUAAUAUGCCUAUAGAUCAGAGAUUGCAUUGCCAGUGGCAAGAAAAAUGCAUCCUGUAAGUGAAUUCAAAGGAUGACAUUUGUAAAAUUUCAAUUUAUAACAUGUUUGUGUGCAAUAAUGGUUUGUGAAUGUUGUUCCCCCAGGGUGGGGAAUUGGAUUUCUUUAUUUGCCCGGGGGUGGGGAAUUUUGGAAAUAAAAAUCAUUUUGGAAAUAAAAAAUCUGCAAAUCCCUGGGGGUUGCCAGGGGGGGGGGGGUGGUAACAGGAAGAAUUGAAUGUAUGAACAGAUGUGUAACUUCAGUAAACAAGUUGUCCCAUG